UGAACCUUAACAGGUCCUAAAAA
rnacentral:tRNA from 2 species